CGUGCGCGGAAGGAGCAAGCAGUAGCGGGCGACAGAUCUGGCAAAAGGGAACUAGUGGUAAAGGGAGCUGGUGGAGGGGCGGCGAAAGGGGUACAGGGCAAAGGACGGACGGUGGACCGAGAGCGGCUCGGAGGUCUUGGCUGGCUCUCCGCACUUCCGCUCUUGUGCUGGUCCCACAACCCCUGGCUACGCGAGCCUAGGAUUUAUUAGUCAGAGUCAGUUGUGGGGUUCAGAGGGUCAGCAGUCAGUUCUCCGAAUCCAGAGAUUCAGUACUUGUCAUCAGUAUCGGUAAUCAGGGACUUGGUAGGUUCGGUGUUUGGGAUGCUAAAGGAAUCAGUCUUUUGAUUCAGGGUUCAUCACCUAGAGGUUAGUUUUAGGAUUCAGGUUCAGCCUAUAUAGGUUUUUUGCUAGGAUUUGGGAUGUAUCAGAUGCGGAUCAGUGUUAGUUCAGUACGUGGGAUUCAUUCUUAGGAUUGUAGUUGAAUAUUUGCAGCUCACUCAGGUUCUGGGGUUCAAUAUUCAGGGUUCACUAUUUGGGUUCAGGGCUUAACAUCUAGAGUGAGGAAGCAACAAUUGGAAAUCAGUGGGUUUGGGGUUUCGGUUUUUUGAGGUUUGGGGUCUGAGAAGAGCGUCUCUUGCUGAGUUUCUGAGUUUGCUGAAUUUGUGGCCAGAGGGAAGUCUGUUAGGGGCCAAAUUGUGGGGUGUGAAUUGGGUGAAAUCACUGUGGGGUUUGAAGGCGGGCUGGAGUCUAGGCUGGGAUUUGAGUUGUGUGGGAUUUGUGAGGUGUUGUAUCCUGGGCAGGUCUAUAUUGAACUUCGGGUUUACAUCCUCCAGGAGGACUCUGUUGCUCUUUGGGGUUUGGGGCUUGUUUGGGGUAUGAGUCAGGUUCCUGGGUUGGGGUGUGAGAUCUGAGCCUGACUUCUCUGUUGGGAUUUGAGGUUUAGGUAGCAAUCGCCAUCAUGCUCAAAGCAGUGAUCCUGAUUGGAGGCCCUCAAAAGGGGACUCGCUUCAGGCCUUUGUCAUUUGAGGUGCCCAAACCCCUGUUUCCUGUGGCGGGGGUCCCUAUGAUCCAGCACCACAUUGAGGCUUGUGCCCAGGUCCCUGGGAUGCAGGAGAUUCUGCUCAUUGGCUUCUACCAACCUGAUGAGCCCCUUACCCGGUUCCUAGAAGCUGCCCAGCAGGAGUUUAACCUUCCAAUCAGGUACCUGCAGGAAUUUGCCCCACUGGGCACAGGGGGUGGUCUCUACCAUUUCCGGGACCAGAUUCUGGCUGGAGGCCCCGAAGCCUUCUUCGUGCUCAAUGCUGAUGUCUGCUCCGACUUCCCCUUGAGCGCUAUGUUGGAUGUCCACAGACACCAGCCUCACCCCUUCUUGCUCCUUGGCACCACGGCUAACAGGACACAAUCCCUCAACUACGGCUGCAUUGUAGAGAAUCCACAGACGCAUGAGGUCCUGCACUACGUGGAGAAGCCCAGCACGUUUGUCAGUGACAUCAUCAACUGCGGCAUCUACCUCUUCUCCCCGGAAGCCCUGAAGCCCCUUCGGGAUGUCUUCCAGCGUAAUCAGCAGGAUGGCCAACUGGAGGACUCUUCAGGCUUGUGGCCCGGGGCAGGUACCAUCCGCCUGGAACAGGAUGUGUUCUCCGCCCUGGCAGGGCAGGGCCAGAUCUAUGUGCACCUCACUGACGGUAUCUGGAGUCAGAUCAAGUCUGCAGGCUCAGCCCUCUACGCCUCCCGCCUCUAUCUGAGCCAGUACCAGCUCACUCACCCAGAACGCCUGGCCAAGCACACCCCAGGGGGCCCACGGAUUCGAGAUGCAGAGGUCAAGUCUCAAUCCCUGCCCUCCCUGAACCAGAUGUGGUUUGGGGUAUUUGCCCCCAGAUCCUCUCUUCUGCUUCUAGGAAAUGUUUACAUCCACCCAACGGCUAAGGUGGCCCCAUCGGCUGUGCUGGGCCCCAACGUCUCCAUCGGGGAAGGGGUGACCGUGGGCGAGGGCGUGCGGCUCCGAGAGAGCAUCGUCCUCCACGGAGCCGCGCUGCAGGUGGGCGUCCAGGUGCACGCGGCAGGAGCACACGUGUGUUCUGCACAGCAUCGUGGGCUGGGGGAGCACGGUGGGGCGCUGGGCCCGCGUGGAGGGCACGCCCAAUGACCCCAAUCCCAACGACCCCCGAGCCCACGUGGACAGCGAGAGCUUAUUCAAGGAUGGGCGGCUGCUGCCCGCCAUCACCAUCCUCGGCUGCCGCGUCCGGAUCCCUGCCGAGGUGCUCAUCCUGAACUCGAUUGUUCUGCCGCACAAGGAGCUGAGCCGCAGCUUCACCAACCAGAUCAUCCUCUGAGGGGGGCUCCCAGAACCCCCCCACCCCCCGCCCCGGCUCCUAUCCGCUUGCCGUGAGGCUCCUGUCUGCAUGGGCAGCCUCUGUCCAGGAGGGACUGGAGGAAGCCAGGCGGGCUCUUCAUGCACGCGGGGAGCCGCGCGGGUGGCCGGGGGACGGGUGGCCUCCCUCUCCACUCCCUAAUAAACCCGGGUGAACCUUGGA